UCUGAUGAAUGAGCAAAGAAAGUGGUUUCUCGAGGUGGGAGCUACCCCUGGUGAAGAUGCUGUGAA
rnacentral:pre_miRNA from 1 species